rnacentral:rRNA from 1 species
CCUACGGGAGGCAGCAGUAGGGAAUCUUUCACAAUGGGCGAAAGCCUGAUGCAGCAACGCCGCGUGCAGGAUGAAGGCCCUCGGGUUGUAAACUGCUUUUAUAAGCGAGAAAUAUGAUGGUAACUUAUGAAUAAGGAUCGGCUAACUACGUGCCAGCAGCCGCGGUCAUACGUAGGAUCCGAGCAUUAUCCGGAGUGACUGGGUGUAAAGAGUUGCGUAGGUUGCAUAAUAAGUAGCUAGUGAAAUCUGGUGGCUCAACCAUUCAGACUAUUGGCUAAACUGUUAAGCUCGAGACCGUUAGGGGUAACUGGAAUUUCUGGUGUAGGAGUGAAAUCCGUAGAUAUUAGAAGGAACACCAAUAGCGUAGGCAGGUUGCUGGGACGGUACUGACGCUAAGGCACGAAAGCGUAGGGAGCAAACGGGAUUAGAUACCCGUGUAGUC